rnacentral:lncRNA from 1 species
CAUAUGUGUGCAUGUAGUUUGGAAACCUUUCUUUUCUUGCUCCAUCUUUUGGAGAAAUUUUUAUUCUCCUUGGAGACCCAUUUGGGAAGAAUUUUGGCUAAAUCAUGUGUCUGUGGGAGACCAUUCUUAUCUGGACCCGGAGCUGAGACUGGAGGCCAAAGGGAAGCACCAUUUCAGGAGCAGUCAAGUGCAUUGUGUCUUUGGCUCUGGAAAAUUAAUUCCAAAAGGCAUGUGUAGCCACUAUUCUCAUCCAUCUUUUAAAAAGCAAAUAGUGGACACAUAGCCAGCAGUAGCCAACAAAUGCCAAAAAUAUCCAAGUCCAUCAUCCCUAGGCACAAGUUAGUUGCUAUAGAGAAAAGCCAACAACUCUUAAACCUUCUUUUUUUUUUUUUUUUUUGGCUACAGGUGGGUGGUAAAAUAAUAAAGAGAGGGGGGUUAGGAACACGAUGAAACAAAGAUGAUAAAUGGAAACCAUUUUCUUUUAAGGGCCUCUCAAAAGAAGCAGUGUUUCUCCAGAGCCACCCCCUGCCCCCAACCAGUAUGGACUUGCUCGACAAUGACUGGCAUUUCCGUUCUCAGGCCGUUACUCAACUACCAUGUGGAAGUGUCUCUGACAGGAAGAGGAAGCAGGACCUCCAACCUUGGUGAGGUAAUGCUACUCAAAAAUCAAAUGAUGAGGUCCCAGUUAAUAUGGCUGCCUGACCCAAAUAUUUCCCCUGCCUUCCAAAAGCCCAAUAAAAUGAUUGCAAAAGAAUAGCCCAGAAGAACAAAGAGAAUGGGAAGAACACCAAGAUAAUACCAAAGAUUUCAAUUAAUUUCUGAAAAACUGAAGAGGACAGAAGACUGUGGGACCUUCUUGGACCAUCUUGAGUGUACUUGUAUUCCUGUUAGUAAAUCCUGGGGCAGAUUUGUGAGGAGCAGGGCCUGAAAGUUUAGCAAGGCUCUCUCUAUUCUAUAAGUUAAUAAGCCUCCUUCACAAUAUUUCAUAGAAUUAGAGAAUUUGGAAGCGACAUUAGAAAUUGCAUUUCUAAACUCUGCAUUGAAUUGGUGAAGAAAAUGAGGCAUAAGGAAAGUAGGAGACUGCCCUCAGUCACCCACUAGUAACUAGCAGACCUGAGAUAAUUAACCAUGUAUCUUUCCCAGUACACAUCCCACCAUAUUCCACUGCCUGUGUCAGAUGGCCAGGAUUGCCAAGGCAUUCUAUCAGUCCCUUUUAUCUUUCCAGUUACAUGUACCUCUCUCACACUAUUGCAUGAGGCAUGGAAGAAAAUACUGAGCCAGGGGUCAGAACACAAAAAUGCCUCAGCUCUGUUCCUGAUUAACUGUGUUGAUUCAUUCAUCUGCUUUGUAUUUGUGGGGGUAUAUGGUGUGUUAGGGAGUGGAGUGGACAAAUGGAGAUGGGGUUUUUAAUGUAUAUUUUUAAGGUUUUCUUUUUAAUUAAAAAUUAUAUACAGGAAUGUUAUUCAGUUAUGAAAAAGAGAAUGAAAUCCUGCCAUUUGCAACAAUAUGGAUGGACCUUGAGGGCAUUAUGCUAAGUGAAAUGAGCCAGACAGAGAAAGAUAAACACUGUAUGAUCUCAACUAAAUGUGGAGUCUAAAACAAACAAACAAACAAACAAACAAUGGAAAAAUAAAACAACAAACAAACAAAAAAAUCA